rnacentral:rRNA from 1 species
UACGUAGGGUGCAAGCGUUAAUCGGAAUUACUGGGCGUAAAGCGUGCGCAGGCGGUUAUGCAAGACAGAUGUGAAAUCCCCGGGCUCAACCUGGGAACUGCAUUUGUGACUGCAUGGCUAGAGUACGGUAGAGGGGGAUGGAAUUCCGCGUGUAGCAGUGAAAUGCGUAGAGAUCCGGAGGAACACCGAAGGCGAAGGCAGUGUCCUGGGGAGUACCUGACGCUCAGGUGCGAAAGCCAGGGGAGCGAACGGG